rnacentral:rRNA from 1 species
GAUUAAAACUCAAAGAAAUUGACGGGGGCCCGCACAAGCGGUGGAGUAUGUGGCUCAAUUCGAUGCAACGCGAAGAACCUUACCAGGCCUUGACAUGCAUCUCUGAACCGGUGAAAGCCGGCGAGUGUCGAAAGACACAAUUUGCACAGGUGCUGCAUGGCUGUCGUCAGCUCGUGUCGUGAGAUGUUGGGUUAAGUCCCGCAACGAGCGCAACCCUUGUGAACUGUUGCCACCGAGCCGAGAGGCUCGAGCACUCUGUUCAGACUGCCUCGCUUAAACGAGGAGGAAGGUGAGGACGACGUCAAGUCAGUAUGGCCCUUACGGCCUGGGCUGCACACGUACUACAAUGCCCAGUACAGAACGAUCCGAGACCGCGAGGUGGAGGAAAUCUAACUAAAACUGGGCCCAGUUCGGAUUGGAGGCUGCAAUUCGCCUCCAUGAAGCCGGAAUCGCUAGUAAUGGCGCAUCAGCUACGGCGCCGUGAAUACGUUCCCGGGCCUUGUACACACCGCCCGUCACAUCAUGAAAGCCGUUUGUACCCGAAGUCGCCCCUUAAAAGGCGCCGAAGGUAUGGAUGGUGAUUGGGAUGAAGUCGUAACAAGGUAGCCGUAGGGGAACCUGCGGCUGGAUCACCUCCUUUCUAAGGAG